rnacentral:rRNA from 1 species
UAAGUACAGGCCUAAGUAAGGCGAAACCGCGAAUGGCUCAUUAAAUCAGUUAUGGUUCAUUGGAUCUUACCCUUUCUUACUUGGAUAACUGUGGUAAUUCUAGAGCUAAUACAUGCCAACCAGUAGCUCCGACACACUCCCGUGUGGAAGAGCGCUUUUAUUAGAUCAAAACCAGUCCUCCCUCGGGAGGUCAAACCCCUUCGUGGUGACUCUGAAUAACUUUUAGCUGAGCGCACGGUCUCCGCGCCGGCGCCGCAUCUUUCAAGUGUCUGCCUUAUCAGCUUUCGAUUGUAGGUUAUGCGCCUACAAUGGCUAUAACGGGUAACGGGGAAUCAGGGUUCGAUUCCGGAGAGGGAGCCKGA